GUGUCAGCCGCCGCGGUAAUACGGAGGAUGCAAGCGUUAUCCGGAUUUAUUGGGUUUAAAGGGUACGUAGGCGGAGAAUUAAGUCAGUGGUGAAAUCCUGCAGCUUAACUGUGGAACUGUCAUUGAUACUGGUUUUCUUGAAUGUAGUUGAGGUAGGCGGAAUGUGUAAUGUAGCGGUGAAAUGCUUAGAUAUUACACAGAACACCGAUUGCGAAGGCAGCUUACCAAGCUAUGAUUGACGCUGAGGUACGAAAGCGUGGGGAGCGAACAGGAUUAGAAACCCCUGUAGUCC
rnacentral:rRNA from 1 species